UUUGGGAAAUGAUGCCAAGAUUCAAACAGAGGCGCCAGCUGCUGAUUAAUCUAUUGCACGUCAGUCUGAUCCAAAA
rnacentral:snoRNA from 1 species